ensembl:lncRNA
GUGUUGUGUGCUGAGGCAGCGAAGAGAGUAGAGGAUGAUGAGUCAAGGGUGGCGGCAUGUACAAACAAAAUGUGCGAACAGACGAUACCAAAGAAGAAGAUGAAGAUGAAGAAGACGGGUUUGACAGACGUGAUCCGCUAGAACGCGCCUUCGUCGCCGUUCGGGAUUAUGCAUAUCACAGUGCGAAAAGCAGCAGAUGGCCGUUUGGUUUUAUCCCAGUGCCAGAAGGACCACUUGUAUCAUUGCCCCUUCUGCCAGCCCUCAAUUUUCAAGCCCCGAGACUAUGCCAGUGUGUUGACACACAUUGAGUCGCACAGAUUGAAGGCUGUGCUGCAUAGAGAGUUCACAAUAUUCAUAUGCCAUCUGGAGUGCAGAGAAGCAAAGCAUUUCCACUGCCCAUAUUGCCCCAAGACUUAUGUAAAUAGGAGUGAUUUUACCAAACACAUUCCACAAUGUGAGUCAGUAUGUUAUCGAGCCCCAGGUUCAACAGCGAGAGCCCCAGAUGUAACCAGUGCAUCAGCGAGAGCCCCAGAUGUGACCAGUGCAUCAGCGAGAGCCCCAGAUGUGACCAGUGCAUCGGCGAGAGCCCCAGAUGUGACCAGUGCAUCGGCGAGAGCCCCAGAUGUGACCAGUGCAUCGGCGAGAGC